rnacentral:misc_RNA from 1 species
UUAAGUUCAGCGGGUCUUCCUGCCUGAUUUGAGACCAUGGUUCAAGUCAACCCGAAGGUUGCCUUUAAUAGUUGAGUGCCGGACAUGCACCACCACACGUACUGGGUAUUAGAGAAACCGAAGUCUCAUACACAUACUUUUCCGUUACUUGGUAGUAUCCAGCAGCAAUAGUUUUAAAAGCACGCAGGGUAAGUGCGACG